GCCGGGCGUGGUGGCGGGCGCCUGUAGUCCCAGCUACUCGGAGGCUGAGGCGGGAGAAUGGCGUGAACCCGGGAGGUGGAGCUUGCAGUGAGCCGAGAUGGCGCCACUGCACUCCAGCCUGGGUGACAGAGCGAGACUCCGUCUCAA
rnacentral:SRP_RNA from 1 species